GCUGCCGCCCGGGGACCCCCGCCCCGGGCAGGGCGCGGGGGGCUCGAGCAUCGUCUGCCGGGGGGCGGCCGCAGGGGUGACAUUUACUGGGAGAUCUCGGGCGGCGGGGGAGGCUCGAGGUUUUGAAAGAUGAGGUGAAAGACGCCCCCCGGCCACCCCUUUUCUCGGGGAGAUGCUCGGAGGCGUUGCUCGGGCUGCUCGGGGGCUUGGGGAUGGAGGCGCUGGGUGGUCGGAGCUGCAGAGGGAAUUGCUCGUACGGGAGAAAACAUCUUUCGGUGUCACGGAGCAGGACAAUAAAGACACAGAGUGGGUGGAAAGGCAUGAAAGCAUAUAAAUACACCAUGGAAAGAUUAUCUACCACAAGGAGAGACUUCCCCACUUCCAUGCAGGAGUAAAAGAACCAGGCACAACUUUCUGGGAUGUUUUUUGAUGCAGGAUUUGGCAUUUAGUGCCUGGAUAACAUUACUGACCUUCAGAGCUUUGCUGUAGUUGGUAAAGUAGUAUCAAAUAAAAUACAAAGUUC